rnacentral:lncRNA from 1 species
AAUUAAAGGCAUGCACCACCACCACCUGGUGUUGGGACCGCAGGUGUAUGUCAUCAUGUUUGUUGGUGCAGCGCUGGGGAUUGAGCUCACAGCUCCAUGCAUGCCAGGGAACUGGAAUGUGCUAUGUUUAGUGAUCCCUGACUACUGUGCUGACCCCAGUGUCCUUCACACCUCUCCCAUCACACCCUUUCUGUGGUGGCUGGGAAUGCUGGGUUCUGAAGACAUCCUGAAUAUUGAGCCAAGAAGCCUUGCUGUGACUGAAGGUAAGGACCAGAGAUCUAUGUCAAAACAGCACCAGGAUUUCUGGUCGGAGCUACUGGGAGGAUUGCUAGAACCUGAUGGAGAGG